UACACCAAGCAGGCUAGAUAACGUUGGGGU
rnacentral:piRNA from 1 species